UACAGAGGUAGAGCAACAUGAAAAUAAAAGAGCAUGCUUCUAAUCUUCAAACUUCUUAGUUUAAAAAAAUGGCGAUAACCUUACAACAUUUUCCAGACUCUUGUCCAUACUGAAAAUGGUUCAUGCAUUAAGGAACACCACACAAAGUAUGGAAUCCAAAAAAACUAACAACAAGCGACAGUGACAUGGAUGGCUACCUUAUUGCUUUGGAAGUGGAUGGCAUGAGCCGUCGCUUAGAUGCACGAAACAGUCCCGACCAUGUACAGCUAGCCAAGAAACGUUGGGUCAAAACAAGGAGUUGGUACCUUGAGCAACGACGCCAUCGCGUUGACAUUUGCCCAACCCAACUGCUCAUGGCCAUCCUCGGCCACCACCUAUCCACCUGGACACACUCCUCUAGACCCAGGCGUUCUGAACGGCAUCCUCCCUGCUUCCCCAGCAUGAUGGCCGACUACCGUAACUUCUCUAGAGUGAAUCCUUCCAAAGGCGCUGCCGACAACAUCAUCCCUGUGGUGAUGCGUCUUCCUUCUUGUGCCUUUUGCUCCAUUGACCUCCUUCCUAUGAAAUUUCGGUAACAAGGUACAUUUCAGUAAUCAGUAAAAAAAUGCAGAUUUUAGUACAAGAGAAAUGAGCGUCUUGACAAAGGUUUAGUAGAAAUCAGAUUUCCGUACAACAAGAUAUUUUAGUACCUACUAAAAAGAAUAGUACAAGGGCAAUCAUCCGAACAAUAUCAUCAUAAGUAUGAACUAAACCUUUAGUCGCAGCAGGUACCUACUAAAUAGGAAGUGGAUGAUAUUCAUAUUACCCAUGUCAUCUCAAUAUCAUCAUAUGUUUAUUGUAGAAAAUCAUAAGCAUCAACACCACUACCUGGAAGACAUAUCUCCUAGCUUCUUUAUGAUUCAGAAUUCAACCCCAUGGAAGCUAAUAUGAAUAUCAUCUCAAGGAUCUAGAUAAAAUACCUGGAACAAAACUCAAUGAAGAACCAUAACAUCGAUCGAAACUAAACAUGAAAAUUUUGAACUCGCUGACUUUAUAUCAGUCUAGUAGUAAUAGUAGUACAAUCGCUGGUAGAAAAUGCAAUUCUCAACGUGCAUAUAGAUAUGCUAUUAUCUUGCUGCUAGAAAAUGUAGCGCUCAAGGUACAUAUAGAUAUGCCAUUGUCUUGCUGUGAAAUAGACUGCUUGGUUUGUUAGCUAGAUUAGGAAACCUAAGCUUUCCAACAAUUCCAAUCUGGAAGCACAAUCAGACCUCAUAGCCUUAAAGAUAAAUGAAAAGCAAUCAAACCAUUGGCGAGAACUUCUAAUUACGGCUCCGAGAGAACUCUAAUCCAUUUGUAAUUUGCCUAGAAAUAAAAUCAAUCAAACUGUAAUUUGCCUAGAAACAUGACCUCAAUGGCAUGCAUACCAUCACCUUUCAUAUCUUUUGUGGCAUUAAAUGAUUGUUGCAUUGUCUACGGAUGAGCCAAAAUUGCUAUGCCCCCAGUUCUACAAAUUAGAUGCACAAUAGAUUCCCCAUUCAGCCUAAUACCGCUGCAAAUGAACAAUAGAAAUCCACAUUAGUAAAUACAUCACGUCCCUGGUUAAGUAGUUAAUUUCAAGCCCAAAAAAUUAACACACUCCUGGCCAACAAUGUGCACGGUUAACCAUGAGCUACCGCAUCCUUGCCAAGUGUCCUCGUCCCACUCUUCCACUUGGCGUGAGGCCUCAACGGGACCUGCAUGAUCUAUCCAUCAGCGCAUUGACAGGAUUGUUACCAAAAUUCUUGUUCCUGUGAUCAAGCGGGAGGAGUACCGUGUAAAAUUCUGGCAUCCUGCUGUUGUGACAAGAAUGCAUCCUAUGACAAAAAUGUAUCCGACAUCCUCAAUCUCAAGCUAGAAAAAGACACGAGUCUCUUACUUACUAUGACAAAGUUACCAAUGUUUUUAUCAUUAAUUUAAGACGCAAAGCCUCAGGAUUGACAUGAGUAACAUGAAAGACCUUGGGAAAUAUGAAGAAAUUAGGCACACUUUUUUGUGCAUGAUGUGAAGUAGUAGUAAAAAAUCAAAAUGUCUCAUCUAGUGUUUAGUUCUGCAUACCAAGGUUAUAGUUAUACAAGUACAACGAUUAUUCAGACAAGAUCAGCAAGGAGAUGAGAGGAUGCGCUCGCGGUUGUUCUAAAAAUCGGUAGUUGGAGUCAACUUGCUUAAUUCUAUGUGCAUGCAUAUUCAAAACAACAUGGAGAAUCGUUGUAGGUUGGCUUGGGGGUACCUUUGCAACAUGGAGAAUUAUUGUAGGUUGGCUUGCUGAAUUCUGUGUGCAUGCAUAUUUUGCAGUUGAUUAUGCGGCAUCCUCAUGGUGUAAUCUUCUGCUGAUUCGUUGGGAGUACCAUUGCCACCUGAUCUGUAGAAGAUAAUACUCCACCCAUA
rnacentral:lncRNA from 1 species